CAGCCGCCGCGGUAAUACGUAGGGUGCGAGCGUUAAUCGGAUUUACUGGGCGUAAAGCGUGCGCAGGCGGCCCGUUAAGACAGGUGUGAAAUCCCUGGGCUCAACCUAGGAAUUGCGCUUGUGACUGGCGGGCUCGAGUACGGUAGAGGGGGGUGGAAUUCCUGGUGUAGCAGUGAAAUGCGUAGAGAUCAGGAGGAACACCGAUGGCGAAGGCAGCCCCCUGGGCCUGUACUGACGCUCAUGCACGAAAGCGUGGGGAGCAAACAGGAUUAGAUACCCUGGUAGUCCACGCCCUAAACGAUGGGUACUAGCCGUUUGGUGCGCGAUAGCGCUGAGUGGCGAAGCUAACGCGUGAAGUACCCCGCCUGGGGAGUACGGCCGCAAGGUUGAAACUUGAAGGAAUUGGCGGG
rnacentral:rRNA from 1 species